CGUUCAGGGGUAAACCUAAGAAACCCAAAAGAUCGAACGGGGAGAUUCAUCGUCAGCGACAUCGGCUUCGCGUCGGUGGGCGAUGUCCCGCGGUUUCUCGCGCGGGCACGCUACCGUGCGCGCAUGACCGGCUUCGUCGUCGUGCACUUCUCCCCUAGUAGAACGUCGCGACCCGCUGGGUGUCGGUCUACGGCCCGGGUGAGGUGACUGUCGCGUCGCCGGUAAAACGGCACGCGGCAAACCCUCGGACGCCCGGCCGGCUGCCCGGCGGUACUCGCACGGUAUCAGGCCGCAGCUUGUCUGCGUCAAGCCCGUCGCAAGCGCGCGCCACGGUUACUCGGAGGUACGGACCUAGCGCCGUCCCCGGUCCUGGUCCGCUGUUGGCCGACGGUGACCUUUGACAGGCCUUACGGGGCGACGUGGGGGGCUUUCGCCGUUCCACGUCCGCCCUAAUACCGGUCGGCGACGCUACUGCUUUGGGUACUCUUAGGACCCGUCUUGAAACACGGACCAAGGAGUCUAACAUGUGCGCGAGUCAUUGGGACUAGCAAAACCCAAAGGCGCAAUGAAAGUGAAGGUCGGCCCUGGCGCCGACCGAGGGAGGAUGGGCCGCGUCGCGAUGCGGCCUCGCACUCCCGGGGCGUCUCGUUCUCAUCGCGAGCAGAGGCGCACCAAGAGCGUACACGUUGGGACCCGAAAGAUGGUGAACUAUGCCUGGUCAGGACGAAGUCAGGGGAAACCCUGAUGGAGGUCCGUAGCGAUUCUGACGUGCAAAUCGAUCGUCGGAACUGGGUAUAGGGGCGAAAGACUAAUCGAACCAUC
rnacentral:rRNA from 2 species